UAAAUCUCAAAGGGGUGCCGUACGGCUGAGAUCAUACCCAUAGAACCUGGGCGGGUAAUGCUGCCAAGGGAGUAUAUACAGUUCAUUCU
rnacentral:ncRNA from 1 species